AUUUCGUCUCAGCCUUUUGGCUAAGAUCAAGUGUAGUAUCUGUUCUUGUCAAUUUAAAGUUUAUUUUCUCUGAUAUCAUUGCAGCUGUUCCCACUUUUG
ensembl:snRNA U2 U2 spliceosomal RNA